rnacentral:rRNA from 1 species
GACGAACGCUGGCGGCGUGCCUAAUACAUGCAAGUAGAACGCUGAAGAGAGGAGCUUGCUCUUCUUGGAUGAGUUGCGAACGGGUGAGUAACGCGUAGGUAACCUGCCUUGUAGCGGGGGAUAACUAUUGGAAACGAUAGCUAAUACCGCAUAACAAUGGAUGACACAUGUCAUUUAUUUGAAAGGGGCAAUUGCUCCACUACAAGAUGGACCUGCGUUGUAUUAGCUAGUAGGUGAGGUAAUGGCUCACCUAGGCGACGAUACAUAGCCGACCUGAGAGGGUGAUCGGCCACACUGGGACUGAGACACGGCCCAGACUCCUACGGGAGGCAGCAGUAGGGAAUCUUCGGCAAUGGGGGCAACCCUGACCGAGCAACGCCGCGUGAGUGAAGAAGGGUUUCGGAUCGUAAAGCUCUGUUGUAAGUCAAGAACGGGUGUGAGAGUGGAAAGUUCACACUGUGACGGUAGCUUACCAGAAAGGGACGGCUAACUACGUG